GCCCUGGUGGCACAGUGGUUAAAGCAUUUGAUUGCUAAUCAAAAGGUCAGCGGUUCAAAACCACCAGCGGCU
rnacentral:tRNA from 1 species